rnacentral:misc_RNA from 1 species
GGAAGUAAAGGUCGUAACAAGGUUUCCGUAGGUGAACCUGCGGAAGGAUCAUUAUCGUAUAACCGAGGUGCGAGGGCUGUCGCUGACCCGAAAGGUCGUGCACGCCCGAGUGCCCUCACACACAUCCAUCUCACCCCUAUGUGCACCACCGCGUGGGUCCCCCUUUGGCUUGUUCGGAGGGGGGCUUACGUUUUCACACAAACUUUGUAUGCAGUGUAGAAUGUAUUUUUUGUUUUUGCGAUCACGCAAUCAAUACAACUUUCAACAACGGAUCUCUUGGCUCUC